GAUCAUGGCUCAGAUUGAACGCUGGCGGCAGGCCUAACACAUGCAAGUCGAACGGUACAGGAAACAGCUUGCUGUUUCGCUGACGAGUGGCGGACGGGUGAGUAAUGUCUGGGAAACUGCCUGAUGGAGGGGGAUAACUACUGGAAACGGUAGCUAAUACCGCAUAACGUAGCAAGACCAAAGAGGGGGACCCUCGGGCCUCUUGCCAUCGGAUGUGCCCAGAUGGGAUUAGCUUGUUGGUGGGUAACGGCUCACCAAGGCGACGAUCCCUAAGCUGGUCUGAGAGGAUGACCAGCCACACUGGAACUGAGACACGGUCCAGACUCCUACGGGAGGCAGCAGUGGGGAAUAUUGCACAAUGGGCGCAAGCCUGAUGCAGCCAUGCCGCGUGUAUGAAGAAGGCCUUCGGGUUGUAAAGUACUUUCAGCGGGGAGGAAGGGAGUAAAGUUAAUACCUUUGCUCAUUGACGUUACCCGCAGAAGAAGCACCGGCUAACUCCGUG
rnacentral:rRNA from 1 species